UAGGGAAUAUUGGACAAUGGGGGAAACCCUGAUCCAGCCAUGCCGCGUGAGUGAUGAAGGCCUUAGGGUUGUAAAGCUCUUUCGGCGGGGAAGAUAAUGACGGUACCCGCAGAAGAAGCCCCGGCUAACUUCGUGCCAGCAGCCGCGGUAAUACGAAGGGGGCUAGCGUUGCUCGGAAUCACUGGGCGUAAAGCGCACGUAGGCGGAUUUCUAAGUCAGGGGUGAAAUCCUGGAGCUCAACUCCAGAACUGCCUUUGCUACUGGAAAUCUCGAGUGCGGGAGAGGUGAGUGGAACUGCGAGUGUAGAGGUGAAAUUCGUAGAUAUGAGGAAGAACACCGGUGGCGAAGGCGGCCCACUGGUCCGGUACUGACGCUGAGGUGCGAAAGCGUGGGGAGCAAACA
rnacentral:rRNA from 1 species